UUUGUCACCAGACCUCACGAAAGAAAUAAAAAUGUCUUCUUUCUUCCCUCUUUAUUUAAUUAAUUUAUGUAUUUAUGGCUGUACCCAUGGCAAAUGGAAGUUCUCAGUCCAGGGAUGGAGACUAGGGGUCAAAUUUAAGCCACAGCAGUGACCUAUACCACAGCUGCGGAAAUGCCAGAUCCUUAACCCACUGCAGUAGGUCAAGGAUUGAACACUUGCCUCCACAGCAACCCAAGCUGCUACAGAAACACAGCUGGAUCCUUAACCCACUGCACUGAUGUGGGAACUCCCUCUCUUUCCCUUUUAAUUCACCUUUACUGGUGAGCUUCAUAAAUUUACUUUUUUUCAAGCUGUAUUUGGUAAAACUGUGAGUGGCUAUAAGAAGGAAAGAAAGUAAACAUAAAUCAUCCCCCAUCUCUUCAUCCCCUGCAUAUUGCAUUUUCAUGCUGAGGGGUGGAUGAAGGCAAAGUGUUAAAUUAUUACGAGUUGCACCAUCAACGCUCCUGUGUUAGGAGGUGCCUUAGUCAGUUUGGACCGCUAGAACAAAAAUAUCAUAGAUUGGGUGGCUUAAACAACAAACAUCUGGAGUCCAGGACCAGGGUGCCAGGUGCUUGGGUUCUGGUGAGGACUCUCUUUCUGGUUUGCAAAUGACCAUCUUCUUGCAGAGAGCAGAGAGAGGAAGCAAGCUCCCUAGAGUCUCCUCUUAUAAGGGUACUAAUUCCAUUCAUGAGGGCUCCUCCCUCAUGAUCUAAUCCCCUCCUAAAGCCCCACCUCCUCAUACCAUCACGUUUGGCUUAGGGUUUCAGCAAAUGAAUUUGAAGUGGGGGGAAUAUAAGCAUUUAGUCCGUAGUAAGAGAUGUCUGUGGCUUUGGCUCCAGCCUUCUUCAUGUAAAGCCCUUGGAACAGUGCCAGCUUGGCACAUAGAAAGUGCUUUACAAACAUUUGCAAUUCAUAGCAGUAUUUUCAUUAGUGUUCAUAUCUUCAUAUAGAAUUCCCUGUCCAUAAACCAGUCACCUCUCACCUUCUCUCCUAUGCUUACUCUUGUCACCAUCCAGGGGCCGAUGGCCUACAGAAAUAUCUUCAGAAUGCUUAGAUUAAAAUCAUUGUUUCCACAGUUGAAGAAGAUACAAAGGAUUCGCCUCCUUAUGUAGUUCUUGGAGAAGGAAUUUAAGACUCAACUACUCUCAGUGAUUAAUACCAAGAAAAAGAAAAAUGUGCAGGUUGUCCUCAGUCCUGCCGCCUUUAACAUUUCAUCAUUUGCUGGCCUGAUGGAGCUGACAACCCCCCAUGUUUCACUUUUCACUCGUUGAUGCCCUCACUCAAUAGCUUCUCUGCUGAUUCAUGGGCCUCAGGGUUAACUUGUCCACAUUUGCCUUAUGGAUUCAGGAACAUUGGGUAGAAAAAGCAGGUAUGUGGUGGCACACCAUGGUGGGAGAAGAAAAAAAUGAUUCAUACCUUGCCAUUGUCCUGCUCUCAAUGAUAUUUCCAGGAUUACAAAGCAGAAAAAAGCUUGAGGCAGCCUGUGUGUGGUCAAAAACAUGUCUGUGUGCUUGGUUACUGCAUAGGACCCCAGGCCUCUGUCUCAUUCAGGAUGAUCAGUUCUCAGUAAUCAUGGACUAAAUACAAACCACUGUGAAAGGCAGCUCCUACCGGAGCAAAUAUGAGGCAACACACCAGGGUAUUCUGCAGGGGUUUCGAGGCUGAACUGUCAAACUUUUUAUUUACUUCUUGUAAGUCCAAGUUCCCUUAGCCUAAAAACAUAAAUAAGGUUAUUUUCCUAUUAUUUACAAUGACUUCAAGGCUCCAUUUCCAGGGAAUCCUCAAAGGUGCUAGUAUUUUAUGUGCAUUCCUGAACCAGCUGGUCUCUGCCUCCAUGGGCUCAGGCCAUCCGUCUCCUCUCUGUCCACAGGCCACUUAAGCCAACUGCCAGUUCUCCUCUCCCCUUUUGGGCAUUCCGCCCCUGGCAGGUGUUGGAUUGGGAAGGGACAGGAUGAAAGUGAUAUGCUCCCUCUCCCCCAAGUUCCCUGCCUGUCAGGUGAUCAAGGGAUGCUUCCUUCCCACAAGUGAGACCAAGCUGUGACCUUUGAUAAGACUUAGGGAAGAGAACUGCAGCCUUGCUGUGCCAUAUGCAAUUCACGCAUGGAAAGCCACAGCAUCACCUGGGAAUACGCUAGUAAUUCAGAUAUCUGGUCCCACCUCAAUCCUCCUAAAACAUCAUCUGCAUUUUAACAAGAUCCUCAGGCAAUUCAUAUGCAUAUCAAAGUUAGAGAUGCCUGAAUUUCGACACAGAGGAACUUUCAUCUGCCUGCCAGAUAUCUACCAUUUGCCACUCCACCCUAUUCUCUGGCCUGGACACUGAACUUCUGCAGACCUCAUCUACGAGGCUUCAGUGCUGUCUUGCUGCAGGUUAGGUUUGGUUAAGGAGGAGCCCUAGCAGGAGAUGAGAGGCGGGAGGAAAGUGGGGCUGGGUUGAUUUCAGGCUGGCUGUGACCCUCUCCAUCACUAAUUGCCUUGAGGCUCAGACAAAGGAAGUCUGGUUUGCUCUGUCCAAGACCUGCUGUCGAGGAUUCAAUUUCCUUCCCCAGGAACUGCCUGCUUUCAUGUAUGAUUAGUAGUGUGAAUAUCAACCCUUUUCAACCACUUUUAUGCUCUCCCUUUAGUCUCAACAGGGUAAUAACAUUAAAACACAGUGGCCCAACAUUUGCACAUUUCCCAGCAUCCAGUUAUUUAGUCUUAGAGAGCCGUCCAUGGCAGAUGUUGCUAGUCCUGUCCCAAGCAAUCAGUGAAAACCAUAGAUGCUUUCCUUUGAACAGUGUUUCCUCCAGCAUGAGGGCUGGGUCUGUGUGUCCUUCCAGCCAACCAAUUAACCCUCAAUCUCCUGCAAAACAGCUCAAACCUUUUCCCCUAAAGACACCACAAUUUUUGAAAUUUCUGGGAGGACCUCAACCCUGCCUGUUUAUAAUCCAUUCUUAAUCAGGAACCAGAGGUCUUGUCCUCAGCCAUCUGUCAGACCUUGUCCUUUUUCUUAUAAAAUCAUCAUAUGGAUUUGGUUUGAACUUAAAACACAAAGCAUGGUGUGGAGGUCAGUUUCCCCAGGAGGCAAAUCCUGAGAUGGAGUCAGUAUACAGAGGUGUUUUGGGGAGCACUCUCAGGACCAACUCCCAUAAAGGACAUGAAGGAAAGAGGGUAGGACAGAGAGAAAUGGGGCUGCAAUGAAGUCACAACAGAAGCCUCAGAUGACCAGAAGCCAGGAUGAUGGUACAGAGUAGCCUUUACUGAAGCAAAAGAGUCUGAGCAUUUGUAUUUGUCUGAGACUCAGGCAGAUAGUGUAACCUUGGAGGACAAGGCUGUCAUUAGCCAAGGGCAAGCCCCACAGAGAGUUCACUCCAAUCUGGCAUCAUCCACACUCUCAGCAGCUGCGGAAUGAGUACUCCAGCCCCAAAAGUGGUGGGCUGGGAUAUGGAUCUGGAUGGCCAAGCACAGUCUUGUAUUCAUGGUUGAUAAGGCCCUCCAGGACCUCGCCCUGCCCGUGUCUGCAACAUCAUCCUCUCCACUAGGCCUCUAGUCACACUGACCUCUGUGACUUGGUACUUGCUCUUCUCCCAUCCAGAUGGUCCUCUCUCUGGAUCUUUGUGUGGCUGGCUCCUUCAGCCUCAGGUCUUAGAUCAGAGAUCACAGCCACAAAGACCUCUCCUUGACCACCCUAUUUAAAGCAGCUCUCAGGAGUUCCCAUCAUGGCUCAGCUGUAACAAACCUGACUAGUAUCCUUAAGGAUUCAGUUCAAUCUCUGGCCUCUCUCAGUGGGUUAAGGACCCAGCCUUGCUGUUAGCCGUGGUAUAGGCCAGCAGCUACAGGUCCAAUUCAGCCCCUGGCCUGAGAACUUCCAUAUGCUGCAGAUGCAGCCAAAAAAAAAAAAAAAAAAAAAAGAAAGAAAAAACAAAAUUAAUAAAUAAAUGCUCUCAUACCUUUCUUGCUUGUGGCUGUUAUGUCAUAUUGUUUAUUUAUUCUCCCAUGGAACUGAUCACAAGCAGCAUUUUUUAUUUGCUUACUUAAUGGCUGCUCAAAUGUCUCUUGAGGGUAGGGACCUGUUGUUUUUCUUUAUCCCUUUUCCCCAGUGCCUAGAAUAGUGACAGAGACAUUGUGCGUGCAUUUGCAAUUAUACACCUCAAGCUGGAACUCAAACUCAUGGUCUAGGUCUCAACUCCAGCCAAAAUCCAGACUGCAGCUUGAACCCACUGUUUUUUAACUGAAAUCAUACACCUGGUCACAGGACUUACUGAAGUUCAGGUUCUUUAUGUCUCAAUGCAGAAGGAAUUCAAUGAGAGGCAAAGUGCUAGGUAAGAAGUAGAUUUACUGAGAGACAGACAAAAUGUGGGCCUCUCAAAAGGUGAGAAAGCAGCCCUGGGAGAAAUAUACUCUACAGACAGAUCAUGGCUCAGCAGUAACAAACUCGACUAGUAUCCAUGAGGAUGCAGGUUCGAUUCCUGGCCUCACUCAGUGGGUAAGGAUCUGGCUUUGCCAUGAACUGGGGUGUAGGUGCAGACAAAGCUCAGAUCCCAAGUUGCUGUGACUGUGGCGUAGGCCAGCAGCUACAGCUCCAAUUCGACCCCUAGCCUGGGCACUUCCAUAUGCC
rnacentral:lncRNA from 1 species